rnacentral:rRNA from 1 species
UACUCAAGAAAAGAAUUUAAGUUCAACCUAAGGUUAACUUAAUAAAACAAAAUAACAGCUAUAACUUUAGAGUAAUUCAAAUAAGGUACAGCCUAUUUGAAAAAGGACACAACCUUAACCACCGGGUAAUUGUUAACCACACCUAAUAAAGUAGGCCUAAAAGCAGCCAUCUUCUAAAAAGCGUCAAAGCUUAAUUAGGUUACUAAUUAAUCCCAACACCACCCAAGAACCCUUAUACAAUAUUGAGUAAUUCUAUACCACUAUAGAAGAUUUUAUGUUAAAACUAGUAACAAGAAGAAGAACUUCUCUUACAAUGCAAGUGUAAAUCAGACAGGACACCCCACUGACAACUAACACCCAUGAACAAAAAGUAGCAACCGAACAAGAAAACCCUACUAUAUCCUGUGUUAAUCUAACACCAGGGCAUUUCAAGAAAGAUUUAAAGAAAGAGAAGGAACUCGGCAAAUAUUAACCUCGCCUGUUUACCAAAAACAUCGCCUCUUGAAAAAUAUAAGAGGUCCAGCCUGCCCAGUGACUCUGUUCAACGGCCGCGGUAUCCUAACCGUGCGAAGGUAGCGUAAUCACUUGUUCUUUAAAUGAGGACUAGUAUGAAUGGCACCACGAAGGUUAUACUGUCUCCUCUUUCUAAUCAGUGAAACUAAUCUCCCCGUGAAGAAGCGAGGAUGAACAUAUAAGACGAGAAGACCCUAUGGAGCUUUAAACCAAGCAACACCUGUUUUGAUUUUCCCAAAUUUAAGAAAAAUCCCACUCACCAUUACAGGAUAAUUGCCAGUUUUAGGUUGGGGUGACCGCGGAGAAUAAAAUAACCUCCACAUUGAAAGGUGAUAUAAUCCUUAGCUAAGAGUCACACCUCUACGCAUCAACAAAAUGACAUUAAUUGACCCAAUAUAUUGAUCAACGAACCAAGUUACCCUAGGGAUAACAGCGCAAUCCACUUCAAGAGCUCCUAUCGACAAGUGGGUUUACGACCUCGAUGUUGGAUCAGGGUAUCCCAGUGGUGCAGCCGCUACUAAAGGCUCGUUUGUUCAACGAUUAAAACCCU